rnacentral:rRNA from 1 species
GAUGAACGCUGGCGGCGUGCCUAAUACAUGCAAGUCGAGCGAACAGACGAGGAGCUUGCUCCUCUGACGUUAGCGGCGGACGGGUGAGUAACACGUGGAUAACCUACCUAUAAGACUGGGAUAACUUCGGGAAACCGGAGCUAAUACCGGAUAAUAUAUUGAACCGCAUGGUUCAAUAGUGAAAGACGGUUUUGCUGUCACUUAUAGAUUGAUCCGCGCCGCAUUAGCUAGUUGGUAAGGUAACGGCUUACCAAGGCAACGAUGCGUAGCCGACCUGAGAGGGUGAUCGGCCACACUGGAGCUGGGACACGGUCCAGACUCCUACGGGAGGCAGCAGUAGGGAAUCUUGCGCAAUGGGCGAAAGCCUGACGGAGCAACGCCGCGUGAGUGAUGAAGGUCUUCGGAUCGUAAAACUCUGUUAUUAGGGAAGAACAAAUGUGUAAGUAACUAUGCACGUCUUGACGGUACCUAAUCAGAAAGCCACGGCUAACUACGUG